rnacentral:lncRNA from 1 species
AUUAUCAACACCCUUCCCAUCACAAGAUACGUGAUCCUCUUGUCCCACCUAUUCAGACGUGCCAACUAGAUACUAUCCCUCAUCCUCACUUGUCUCAAUUACACAUUUUUUUAGACCACUAUCAUCCGCGUGGCAGCCUGGUAAUGUUUGAUUUGAAUUUUAUUCCUCAAAAGUUCCAAAAUGACUCUGCACCCCCCAAAAGUACCUUUUGAAUCCCAUCACAAGUCACCCCCUAGUCAACCUUUGCCAGUUCAUAUGCAAUGUGGGCCUCCUCGUGAUCAGUAUCCCUUGAACAUUUUGAACAACCACUUUCCACCGAGAAUGCAUCAGACUCUUCCACUUCCACCAGCCAUCGUACACCACCACACUCAAGCAACGAGCCCUCCACCAAACAACCAUCCUUCUCCUGCAUCAAAACUUCACCUUCAUCCUGCUCCUCUACAACCCACACCUUAAAAUUAGCACCCAUCACACCAAUCCUUCCCACCUAUGAGUGGAAAUUUGAAUUCUUGCCCUAUCAAGCCUUUCCAUUGAUGCAGUCUCCUCAUCAUAGUCAAGAAAAUCUCCGAACAAAGAUCCCACCUUUAUGAAGAAGCUUUCCUCCCACACAUGAAGAGGAAUUCCCACUACUGCAAAUCAGGGGGUACAAGACAUGAUUUUUAAAGUUUUAAGACCUGUUUUCAACCGGGGUUAUAUCAGCAAGUGUUGUAAGUUUGACAUAUGAUGCCUGUUUUUCAUCUGGUAUAAAAAUAACUUAUUGUAUCUGUUUUGUAAGUGUAAUAUUUGUAUUUAUCACACUUGUUUUGCACAAAAAUAUGUGUAAAAAUGAACAAAUUCAAUAUCUAUAUUAGUAUUAAAGCGGUGUGAAAUGUGACUUUUUAUUUAAAAAAGGAGAAAACUUAGGUAAAGUACCAUAUGUGCUGGUGGUCCUUGUUAUACCCUGUUUUUGGACCUAAAAAUACUGGGCCCAAUUUCAUUUCAAACUUUGUCGAUUAUCAAAUUUCAACUGCACAGUUCAAAUUGUCUCUGCCUCGCAGUAUUUUCAAUCACAAUUUUACCUAUGUUUUUCUUGCAUAAAACCUUUCAAAAUGUCUUUACUUGUCUUGUGAGUCAUUCAAAAGUGUCUCUGAAUCAUUACAUUGCUUUUUCUACAGUUUAUUUCAAAAUUUGCAAAAAGUCAUACAGAAGGGUAUUUUGGUCAUUUCCUGUAGUGGGACCUAUUUUCAUCCUUGUGACUGUCUCUGAGUCUUUUCAGAUUAUUUUUAAACAUUUCAUCAGUAGACCUUGUUAAAAUUCAUUUCAAACUUGCAUCUGAGUCAGUGUCGAGUCAAUUUGAUUCUGUUUAGGUCAUUUUUAGCCCUAGGGGCAUUUUGGUCAUUUCACAUAAAAUUUUGGCAUGGGGAGGUUACUUUGAAGUACCUCAUUUAGGCCAUUGGUUCGUUUUAGUCCGUUUUGUCAAUUUUAUUUUGGUUUCACUUUACGUUUGAUCAAAUUGCGUUUUUUAUUCAAAUUUUAUUUUUUAUUGCAUUUUGGUCCCUCAAUUAAGGUCCCAAAAUUGCAUUUCAGUCCAAAAGUUUCUAAAAAUUGCAUUUCAGUCCUUUUUUAUUAUUUUUUUUGCAGAAAAGGUCCCAGGGGCAUUUUUGUCCAGAAUUUUCGCACAUUUUAGUCCAGUCCAGAUGUCACUUUUUUAUUGGUUCAGGUACACAUGGCAGCAUAUAAAAGGGGAACAGUGUCAGAUUUUUUCAGGGAUCCAUUCAUUACAAUACACAUCACCAAAAACAAAUUCCCAUUUUCUCUCUCUUUUCUGUUAGAUCAAAAACAGAAAUUUCUCAAGAACAAAACAGAACCCUAACCGAAAUUCAUCAUCAAAUUCUCAGAGAUUCGUGUACGAAUCUUCAUCAUCGAAUCGAUUCCACCGCAAUACAAGGUGCGAAUUCCUCACCGGAAGUGAAGAACUCAAGCACCGAUCACGGUAGGGAAAAAGAGGGAAAACCGAAUCUGCACAGAGGAAGGAGAAGAAGACAGAAUCAAAGAAACAGCAAGCAAAACGCGCACGCAAGCAAGCACACGCGCAAGCCAGCAAGCAAGCAAGCAAAACGCGCACGCAAGCAAGCACGCACGCAAGCCAGCAGGCAAGCGAGCAAGCACGCGAAGCACAAGCAGCAAGAGCCGUAACAGAAAACAAGAAGAGGUAAGCAUCCUCUUCGUUCGCAUCUCUUCCUUUUUCCACCGUUCUUUUACAAAAAUUUCAUCAAGAUUCAAACUCAGAUCUACUCCGAUUCAAGCUUUUUUCGAAAAAUCUAAGUUCGGAUUCGAGAAGUAUAUAAAAAAGGAUAUCUAAAAAUGUGAAAAUUUCUCGAAUCGGAGCAUUUUGAUUUUCCGGCACGGUGGCGCCGCCGCCAUCCGCCGCGCCGGAACGGAGGAGCUGGCCGGAGAAGAUGACCGGAAAGUUAGAGAGAAGGAGGAGCUUCUCUCUCUAAAAGAGAGAAGAAAGAGAAAGAGGAGUAACAAAUGAAAAAAAACCGGACUUGAAGCAUAUAUAUAGAGCUUUGAACCGGUCCGGUUUAUUUUCGGUUUUUUCCUUUUCUUUCUCAGCCUCUAGAUCAAUCCAACGUCUCCUGUGCAAUCUGAGUUUUGUGUAUUGGGCUUUGGUUUGGGCUUAGGUUUUUUACGUUUUUUUGUUAUUUCCCUGCUAUCUGCACCAUAUGUCUUUGCUAUCAGCACCUGUUGCUUGCUCACUUUUUUACAAAAAAAUUCCUAAAAAAUCCUAGUUGUUUCUUGAUAUAUUUUUGGUAUUUCUAUGGUGUUUUUGCAUUAAAAAAAAUGGUAAAAUGGCAUGAAUUAAUUUCCAUGUGUGUUUACAUUUUUGGGUAUUAUUUUGGUUAUGUUUUUGUUCUUGACACUUUGAUGUGUGACAUGAACAAAUGAUACCCAAUCUUGUGAUGAAUACGCCCCUGGUCAUGUGCUUUCUUGCUGGUUUUUGGAUAUGAUUUUGUAAAUUUCUUAUUUUGCAAGCAACAAGUGUGUGUUUUAAGGAAUAAAGUGUCAAAUUCCUCUAGGAGUUUGGUGUGAUACUUUGCUUGCAUGUGUCUCUAUUAAUUCCACAUCAUGGCUUGAAACUAAAUCUCUUUCAAAAUCGCCAUGAUGUGAUGAUUAUGGGUCACAAGCACAUUUAGGUAUCAUAUCAAAUUUUUUAUAGGUUUUUACCAUUUUAUUACUUCCUUUUUGCUAUUCUUAUACAAUCUCUUUUUAUUUAUCUCGUACUAUUUCAUGCUUUAUGAUUACUAACCAUUUCAUCUCAUGUGACAUACAUUUCAUAGCAUCCCACUAUCUCCUCCACUUUCUUUAGCUUAGCAUUUAUUCUCUUUGCAAGUUUUAACUCAUUUGGUGAUGUAAUUUGUUAUCAUUGGUUUGUAGCUUGGCAAAGGGGCCAUAGAAUGUAUUUAGGCAAUUGUUGUAAUAUGGACUAUGGACACUAUGACGCACCGACACGCACACACUCACCUUAGAUGUAUGCAUAGGAUUGUAUGGUUAAAUAAGCGUUUAGGUUUUAAACACUUAGAGAAAAUCCAUCUUUUUCCAAAAAACAAUUGAACUUCACUUCAAAAAAUUUCAUAGUAAAUAUGAAGUCAACACUUCAUUUUUUUUCUUUUCUUUUUCUUAAGGAAAAUUCAAUUCAUCUUAACCAUUUAGACUUUCUUUCUAAUCACUAAUCAAACCUCACUUUUUUGCUAAAUCUAAUGCUCAUGAAGCCUCCCAAUCUCCUUCUUCAAAACCAUUUUCAAAACUUAAAAUCAAACAAUUAAAACAAAAACAAGUUUUUUAGCAAGAACUACGAACGGUUUUGAUCCCUUAAAAAGGGUACGUAGGCAAUGAGUCAAAACUCAUCCAAGCCGAAAUAAAAUUAAAUUCUACAACUUCUCUCCCCACAUUCUUAGCUAAAUAAACCUCCCAUUUUCAAAAGUAAGUAAAAAUAAGCGUGAAUAUAGACUUAGGAAAACGGCUCCUAUAGAGGACUAUAGUUACUCCGGGUGCCUAACACCUUCCCGUAGUAAAACCGACCCCCGAACUUAGAAUCUAAGGGUUUUUCUCAAUUUUUCCCUUCCCAAGAAAAAAGAGAGAUAUCAACGGUCGAAAGGUACAAGUCCAAUUAAUGGCUUGGCACCCAAAAACCAUGAUAACAGAAAUGGCGACUUCACUGGGGACUCAUUUUAGCGGGUCGCGCCUAGUUUUCUUUAGUUUAUAUUUACGCUUGUUUUAUUGCUUACAUAUGUGAAUAUUUGUUUACUUUCAUUCAACGUGUGGGGUGAGAAUAUCAAAAGUCCUAACCCGGGCUGAGUGAACUUAUGUUUAGGUAGAGAUAUAAUCGACAAUUCGAUCCGGGGGUUGCCUCGUGUAUUGGAUUAUGCGAUCAAUCUCACAUAGCUGAGGCAUUUUGAAGGUGAUAUUGUCGGCGUGUGUUGUCAUGCUUAGGCACUUCACUUUCAAUUGUUCGACGAAGCUAUGAACCGUAGUUACCAAACCCAUCCUAGCCUUUUUUAGGACGUAGUGCGGUGGCUAAAUUGAGUGUUGUCUCAAACUUUAGUCGUCACGCGAUACUACACUCAAACUAGACCUUCUCACAAAUAAUCAGGGAACGGGUGUCGUCCUGUACCACCAUGAUAUAUGUGAGAGAGGUUGCAGUUUGGGAACGGUGUUAGAACCUUGGUUACUACUAUCCAAAGCCUUAGUUCACCGGACGCCGUGUCCAUCCAUGGCCCUGUUACUUUGAAACUCAACCCACCUUGUUCUUUGUAACUAAACAAAACAAUCAUGCAUACAUGCAUUCAUGCAUAAACAUUUUUCAUGCAUUCAUCGAAGGGUUUAAACAAAUGAGAAUUUUUUGUAAAUAAUCACAGGUAUGAAGAAGACUAAGUGCUACAAGUUCAAGGAAGUGGAUCUGGUUGGUUUGAGAGAGUUGGCACUCAAGGUCAAGAGUCAAACAGGGUUCCGACUCCGGUAUGGGGGAUUGCUUACUUUGCUCCGAACCGAUGUGGAUGAGAAGCUAGUGCACACUCUAGUGCAAUUUUAUGAUCCGAGCUUCCGUUGCUUCACUUUCCCGGACUUCCAGUUGGUUCCUACUCUCGAGGCUUACUCCAAUCUAGUGGGUCUGCCUAUAGCCGAGAAGACACCUUUCACCGGUCCCGGGGCUCCUCUUACUCCUCUGGUUAUUGCUAAGGAUCUCCACCUCAAGACUUCCGACGUCUCCAACCAUCUUAUUACCAAGUCUCACAUCCGGGGGUUCACUUCAAAGUAUCUUCUUGAUCAGGCUAAUCUCAGUACUACUCGUCAGGAUACACUCGAGGCUAUUCUUGCUUUGCUUAUCUACGGGCUCAUUCUCUUCCCGAACCUCGACAACUUCGUGGACAUGAAUGCUAUCGAGAUCUUUCAUUCCAAGAACCCGGUUCCUACUUUGCUAGCGGAUACCUACCACGCCAUCCAUGACAGGACUCUCAAGGGCCGUGGGUAUAUUCUUUGCUGCACAUCUCUUUUGUAUAGGUGGUUUAUUUCGCACCUUCCGAGUUCCUUCCAUGAUAACUCGGAAAAUUGGUCCUACUCUCAGCGGAUUAUGGCUCUCACUCCUAAUGAGGUCGUCUGGCUCACUCCUGCCGCUCAAGUGAAGGAAAUCAUUAUGGGUUGUGGAGACUUUCUCAAUGUACCUCUUCUUGGUACUCGUGGAGGAAUCAACUACAAUCCCGAGCUUGCUAUGAGACAGUUUGGUUUCCCUAUGAAGUCGAAGCCCAUCAAUCUUGCCACAUCUCCAGAGUUCUUCUUCUACACGAAUGCUCCUACCGGACAAAGGAAAGCUUUCAUGGAUGCUUGGUCCAAGGUUCGAAGGAAAAGCGUGAGGCAUCUAGGUGUGAGAUCCGGUGUCACUCAUGAGGCCUAUACCCAGUGGGUGAUAGAUCGAGCUGAGGAGAUUGGUAUGCCUUAUCCAGCUAUGAGAUACGUGUCUUCGUCUACUCCAUCUAUGCCUCUACCUCUACUCCCCGCGACUCAGGAUAUGUAUCAGGAGCAUCUAGCUAUGGAGAGUCGUGAGAAGCAAGUGUGGAAAGCUCGGUACAAUCAAGCCGAGAAUCUAAUCAUGACUUUGGAUGGUAGAGAUGAGCAGAAGACUCAUGAGAAUCUAAUGUUGAAGAAAGAGCUAGCUAAGGCCCGGAGGGAAUUGGAAGAGAAAGACGAGCUGCUUAUGAGGGAUUCCAAGAGAGCUCGAGGACGACGAGAUUUCUUUGACAGAUACUGUGAUUCAGAUUCCGAGUCCGAUGAUCUUCCGACUACUUCCUAUGCUUGAGAGCUUUAUUUGUUUACUUUGUUGAAAAUGUUGUGUAAUUUUGAUUAUUUGCAAGAUUUCUAAUUUGUUUUAAAAUCCUUCGAUGAAAAAAAUAAGUCUUUUGCAUUCGCAUUUGCAUAUCAUGCAUCAUGUGCAUCAUACAUUGGUCACAAAGGCUUCCAAGUGCUCACUAUCUCCUGGUUCCUCUGCCGCAGUGUGAAAAGUGGCUCGUGCUCAGAGAGUUUACGAACCAGAUAGAACUGAUCGAACCAGAGAAUACAGAAGAAAGAAAAGGGCUAUGGAAGAAGAGAACGCUCAGCUUCGCACCGAGUUAGCCUCUCUAAAAGAGGAAUUGGCUAAAGCUAAUGACGUCAUGACUGCUCUACUAGCUGCUCAAGAGCAAUCAGCUACAGCUAUCCCUACAACCACAGCUGCACCAGUAACUACAAGCGUGCUCCCUACCACUUCUGCAGACAAUCGCUUUACUAUGCCAGUGGGGUUUCCGUAUGGGCUUCCACCGUUCUUCACUCCCGUUGCUACAGCAAGCACCUCGGGCACUGCUAACAAUGUUCUGAUCCCUGCAACAAAUGCCGCCUCCAUCAUUGCUACUUUGCCACAAACAACAGCAGCUGUCACUGAGCCUCUGGUACACACUCUGCCUCAAGGUAUUAACAUCAACACACAGCACAGAAGCAUCCCCGUAACCAAGACUAUGGAAGAGAUGAUGGAGGAACUUGCUAAAGAACUCCGUCACGAGAUCCAGGCCAAUCGAGGGAAUACCGACUCUGUCAAAACUCAAGACCUUUGCUUAGUGUCAAAAGUGGAUGUCCCUAAAAAGUUCAAGAUUCCGGACUUCGACCGGUACAACGGGCUAACUUGCCCUCAAAAUCACAUCAUCAAAUACGUCCGGAAGAUGGGCAAUUACAAAGACAAUGAUUCCCUUAUGAUCCACUGUUUUCAGGAUAGUCUGAUGGAGGAUGCCGCAGAGUGGUAUACUAGUUUGAGUAAGAAUGACAUCCAUACCUUUGAUGAGUUAGCCACCGCUUUCAAGAGCCAUUAUGGGUUUAACACUCGACUGAGGCCAAAUAGGGAGUUUCUCAGGUCCCUAUCUCAGAAGAAGGAGGAAAGUUUCCGUGAAUAUGCGCAAAGGUGGAGAGGGGCGGCUGCCCGUAUCACUCCUGCUUUAGAUGAGGAAGAAAUGACCCAGACAUUCUUAAAGACCUUGAAGAAAGAUUAUGUUGAGAGGAUGAUCAUCGCUGCCCCGAACAACUUUUCGGAGAUGGUCACUAUGGGAACCCGUCUUGAGGAAGCCGUCAGGGAUGGAAUUAUUGUGUUUGAGAAAGCUGAAUCUUCUGCGAGUGCCUCGAAGAGGUAUGGUAAUGGACACCACAAGAAGAAAGAAACGGAAGUGGGGAUGGUGUCAGCUGGAGCCGGUCAAUCAAUGGCUACUGUUGCUCCCAUCAAUGCAGCUCAAAUGCCUCCGCCAUACCCAUAUAUGCCGUAUUCUCAGCAUCCUUUCUUCCCGCCAUUUUAUCAUCAGUACCCUCUGCCACCGGGUCAACCUCAAGUGCCCGUCAAUGCAAUUGCUCAACAGAUGAAACAACAGAUGCCGGUUCAACAACAACAACAAAAUCAGCAAGCUAGGCCUACUUUCCCUCCGAUACCGAUGUUAUAUGCUGAGUUGCUUCCAACUUUACUCCAGAGAGGGCAUUGUACAACUAGACAGGGUAAGCCCCCACCUGAUCCGUUGCCUCCAAGGUUCAGGUCUGAUCUCAAAUGCGACUUUCAUCAAGGUGCCCUAGGUCAUGAUGUCGAGGGGUGUUAUGCUUUGAAAUAUAUCGUGAAGAAGCUCAUCGAUCAAGGGAAGCUGACUUUUGAGAAUAAUGUUCCACAUGUCCUUGACAAUCCGCUACCAAAUCAUGCCGCUGUGAAUAUGAUCGAAGUGUGUGAAGAAGCUCCGAGGCUUGAUGUCCGCAAUGUCGCAACUCCUCUGGUGCCUCUGCACAUCAAGCUGUGCAAAGCUUCUCUGUUCAGUCAUGAUCAUGCCAAGUGUCUGGGAUGUCUCCGUGAUCCUUUGGGUUGUUAUACUGUUCAAGAAGACAUCCAAAGCCUGAUGAAUGAUAAUCUUCUGACUGUCAGUGAUGUUUGCGUGAUUGUGCCGGUUUUUCACGAUCCGCCUGUCAAGAGUGUAACUUUGAAGAAGAAUGCUGAGCCUUUGGUGAUAAGGUUGCCAGGACCAAUUCCUUAUGUUUCGGAUAAGGCUGUUCCAUACAAGUACAAUGCUACUAUGAUAGAAAAUGGAGUAGAGGUGCCUCUAGCCUCCUUUGCCACAGUAAGCAAUAUUGCCGAAGGGACUUCUGCAGCACUAAGAAGCGGGAAGGUUCGUCCGCCGUUAUUUCAGAAAAAGGUAGCUACACCGACCAUUCCACCAGUUGAAGAAGCAACUCCAACCGUUGUUUCACCCAUUGCUACAGAUGUGAACCAGCCUGGCAAAUCUAUAGAGGAUUCGAAUUUAGAUGAGAUUCUGAGAAUAAUAAAGAGGAGCGACUACAAGAUCGUUGAUCAGUUGCUGCAGACUCCUUCGAAGAUAUCUGUCUUGUCAUUACUCUUGAGCUCUGAGGCUCACAGGAAUACCUUGUUGAAAGUGCUGGAGCAGGCUUAUGUUGACCACGAAGUUACGGUAGAUCGUUUCGGUGGCAUAGUGGGAAACAUUACUGCUUGUAACAACCUCUGGUUCAGUGAAGAAGAGUUGCCGGAAGCGGGAAAGAGUCACAAUCUGGCUUUGCACAUCUCGGUAAAUUGUAAAUCAGACAUGAUAUCAAAUGUGUUGGUGGAUACCGGUUCCUCUCUCAAUGUAAUGCCCAAGACGACUCUAGAUCAGUUGAGCUACCGUGGGACCCCGUUGAGGAGAAGUACUUUCUUGGUCAAAGCUUUUGAUGGAUCUCGAAAGAAUGUGCUGGGAGAGAUAGACUUGCCGAUAACCAUUGGCCCUGAGAAUUUCUUGGUUACUUUCCAGGUGAUGGACAUUAACGCAUCCUACAGUUGCCUGCUGGGAAGACCGUGGAUACACGAUGCAGGUGCGGUUACUUCCACCUUACAUCAGAAGUUGAAAUUUGUGAAGAAUGGAAAACUCGUUACAAUCCAUGGUGAAGAAGCGUACUUAGUCAGCCAGUUGUCUUCUUUUUCUUGUAUUGAAGCAGGGUCUGCUGAAGGGACUGCGUUCCAAGGUUUGACCAUUGAAGGUGCAGAGUCUAAGGAAGCUGGGGCCGCUAUGGCUUCAUUGAAGGAUGCUCAGAGAGCCAUCCAAGAAGGUCAGACUGCCGGCUGGGGCAAGGUGAUACAGCUCUGUGAGAACAAGCGUAAAGAAGGUCUCGGGUUCUCCCCGUCAUCAAGGGUUUCCUCGGGAGUCUUCCACAGUGCAGGGUUUGUUAAUGCUAUCUCUGAAGAAGCCACUGGAUCUGGUCUCAGGCCUGCAUUUGUUACACCAGGAGGCAUUGCGACAAAUUGGGAUGCCAUUGACAUUCCUUCAAUCAUGCAUGUUUCUGAGUAAUGUGUCUUGUUGCUUUAAUGCUUUGUUUUCAAAAUAACAAUCCUCUCGCUCUGCCCAAAGCGAGAGUGAUGUUUUCUGUAAGGGCAUGUUUGUUUCGGCAUUGCCGUUGAUUAAUAAAAUUUUGUCGUUUCUUCCACGACUACUUUUUUUAGUGCUUUUUCCCUUGGAAACAAUGGUAAUGCCAGAAAAAACCAAAACGUCUGUAUUUUCUUAUUAAUUUCAAAAAUCUGCAUGAAAAAAAAAACUCUUUCUAAAAUCAUCCAAUCAUUAUAUGCAGGUUGAACCAUAAUAAACCCGUUGAACACAGUAAUCCUGCGGUUCCUCCGAAUUUUGAAUUCCCUGUGUAUGAAGCCGAAGAUGAGGAAGGUGAUGACGUACCAUAUGAUAUCACUCGGUUACUUGAGCAAGAAAAGAAAGCCAUUCAGCCUCACCAGGAAGAAAUUGAGCUUAUCAACAUAGGUACCGAGGAAAACAAGCGAGAAAUCAAGAUUGGUGCUACUCUAGAGGAAGGGGUUAAACAGAAGAUCAUCCAACUCCUCCGGGAAUAUCCGGAUAUUUUUGCAUGGUCCUAUGAAGAUAUGCCAGGUUUAGACCCUAUGAUCGUGGAGCAUCGGAUCCCUACCAAGCCGGAAUGUCCUCCCGUCAGGCAGAAAUUGAGAAGGACUCAUCCUGACAUGGCCCUCAAGAUUAAGAGCGAGGUUCAAAAGCAGAUUGAUGCGGGUUUCCUCAUGACAGUUGAGUACCCUGAAUGGGUUGCCAAUAUUGUACCUGUGCCAAAGAAGGAUGGUAAAGUCCGGAUGUGUGUUGACUUCAGAGACCUGAACAAGGCCAGUCCAAAAGACAACUUUCCAUUACCUCAUAUUGAUGUGCUUGUUGAUAAUACUGCUCAAUCUAAGGUGUUCUCCUUCAUGGACGGUUUUUCCGGUUAUAAUCAAAUCAAAAUGUCUCCUGAAGAUAGAGAAAAGACAUCUUUUAUCACUCCAUGGGGUACCUUCUGCUACAAAGUGAUGCCGUUCGGCCUAAUCAAUGCUGGUGCUACCUACCAAAGGGGAAUGACCACUCUGUUUCAUGACAUGAUUCACAAAGAAGUCGAGGUAUAUGUGGAUGACAUGAUUGUGAAGUCAGCAGAUGAGGAGCAGCAUGUUGAAUAUUUAACAAAGAUGUUUGAAAGGUUGAGAAAAUACAAGCUGCGAUUGAAUCCCAACAAAUGUACAUUCGGCGUCAGAUCCGGCAAGUUGUUAGGCUUCGUUGUCAGCCAAAAGGGCAUUGAAGUCGAUCCUGAUAAAGUCCGGGCCAUCCGAGAAAUGCCAGCUCCACAGACAGAGAAGCAAGUCAGAGGUUUCUUGGGACGUUUGAAUUACAUCUCCCGAUUCAUAUCUCAUAUGACUGCAACCUGCGGGCCGAUCUUCAAGCUACUUAGAAAGAACCAGCCUGUUGUAUGGAAUGAUGAAUGCCAAGAAGCUUUUGAUAGCAUCAAGAAUUACCUGCUGGAACCACCUAUCCUUGUCCCUCCCGUGGAAGGAAGGCCUUUGAUUAUGUAUUUGGCAGUAUUUGACGAAUCCAUGGGAUGUGUACUUGGUCAACAAGAUGAAACCGGAAAGAAAGAGCAUGCUAUCUACUAUCUAAGCAAGAAGUUCACCGAUUGUGAAACUCGGUAUACAAUGCUUGAGAAGACUUGUUGUGCUCUAGCUUGGGCUGCUAAACGCCUGCGCCAUUAUUUGGUGAAUCAUACAACUUGGUUGAUAUCCAGAAUGGAUCCAAUAAAGUAUAUCUUUGAGAAAGCGGCCGUUACUGGGAAGAUCGCACGCUGGCAGAUGCUUUUGUCUGAAUAUGAUAUUGUGUUCAAAACUCAAAAGGCAAUCAAAGGCAGCAUUCUUGCCGAUCACCUGGCUUACCAGCCUCUCGAUGAUUAUCAACCAAUUGAAUUCGAUUUCCCUGAUGAAGAGAUCAUGUAUUUGAAAUCCAAAGACUGCAAAGAACCGUUGAUUGAUGAAGGUCCAGAUCCCAAUAGCAAGUGGGGUUUAGUCUUUGACGGUGCUGUCAAUGCUUAUGGUAAGGGAAUUGGGGCAGUCAUUGUAUCCCCGCAGGGGCAUCACAUUCCUUUUACCGCCAGAAUCUUGUUCGAAUGUACCAACAAUAUGGCUGAGUAUGAAGCAUGUAUCUUCGGGAUCGAGGAAGCAAUUGACAUGAGAAUCAAACACCUCGACAUCUAUGGAGAUUCUGCGCUCGUCAUCAAUCAGAUAAAGGGUGAAUGGGAGACCCACCAUGCUAAUUUGAUUCCUUAUCGUGAUUAUGCGAGACGUUUGCUGACAUAUUUUACAAAGGUUGAGCUGCACCAUAUUCCUCGUGAUGAGAACCAAAUGGCUGAUGCUCUUGCUACUCUAUCUUCCAUGUUUCGAGUGAACCAUUGGAAUGAUGUGCCAAUAAUCAAAGUGCAACGCCUUGAAAGACCUUCGCAUGUGUUUGCUAUUGGGGAUGUGAUCGAUCAGGCUGGUGAGAAUGUGGUUGACUAUAGACCCUGGUACUAUGACAUCAAGCAGUUCUUGCUGAGCCGUGAGUAUCCGCCAGGUGCUUCCAAACAAGACAAGAAGACCUUGAGAAGAUUGGCCAGUAGAUUCCUGUUAGAUGGAGAUAUUCUGUACAAGAGAAACUACGACAUGGUAUUGUUAAGAUGUGUUGAUGAACAUGAAGCAGAGCAGUUAAUGCAUGAUGUACAUGACGGUACCUUCGGGACCCAUGCUACAGGGCAUACUAUGUCAAGAAAGUUGCUACGGGCAGGUUACUACUGGAUGACUAUGGAGCAUGAUUGCUACCAGUACGCCAGAAAAUGUCACAAAUGUCAAAUCUAUGCUGAUAAGAUUCAUGUGCCUCCGCACGCUCUCAAUGUUAUGUCAUCCCCAUGGCCGUUCUCAAUGUGGGGCAUCGAUAUGAUCGGAAGGAUUGAACCGAAGGCUUCAAAUGGUCAUCGUUUCAUCUUAGUAGCAAUUGACUACUUCACCAAGUGGGUCGAAGCAGCAUCUUAUACCAAUGUGACCAAGCAAGUGGUAGCUAAGUUUAUCAAGAACAACCUCAUCUGUCGAUAUGGUGUUCCCAGCAAGAUUAUUACCGACAACGGUACCAACCUGAACAACAAUGUGGUGCAAGCUCUUUGUGAAGAAUUCAAAAUUGAGCAUCAUAACUCUUCUCCUUAUAGACCUCAGAUGAAUGGUGCAGUUGAGGCCGCCAACAAAAAUAUCAAGAGAAUCGUCCAGAAGAUGGUAACUACUUACAAGGACUGGCAUGAGAUGUUACCCUAUGCUCUGCAUGGCUACCGCACUACCGUGCGCAGUUCAACCGGGGCAACUCCUUUCUCUCUUGUAUAUGGUAUGGAAGCAGUUCUUCCUUUGGAAGUGGAGAUCCCAUCUCUCCGUGUGAUCAUGGAAGCAAAGUUAUCCGAGGCUGAAUGGUGCCAAAGCCGGUAUGAUCAGUUGAAUUUGAUUGAGGAAAAACGUAUGGAUGCCAUGGCUCGUGGACAGUCAUAUCAAGCAAGAAUGAAGACUGCCUUUGACAAGAAAGUCCAUCCUCGAGAAUUCAAGGUAGGGGAACUUGUAUUGAAAAGGAGGAUAGGCCAGCAACCCGACCCAAGGGGCAAGUGGACGCCUAACUAUGAAGGUCCUUAUGUUGUCAAGAAGGCCUUCUCCGGUGGUGCUUUAAUCCUUACACACAUGGAUGGUAUAGAACUUCCAAAUCCAGUGAAUGCCGAUAUAGUCAAGAAAUACUUUGCCUAGAAAUAUGAAAAGAACAGCGUGGUAGGUCGAAAACCCGAAAGGGCGGCCUAGGCAAAAAUGCGCUUCCCGGUGGAUCGAAAACCCGAAAGGGCGGUCCAGGCAAAAAUAAGGGACAAAAAAAAAAUAUAUAUGAAAAGCUCGCUGAGAUUGUACACAACUCAGGCAAGAAUGAGCGUCUCGAUGAGCCGAAAACCCGGAAGGGCGGUUCAUGCAAAAAUGAGAUUGAAACAAAAGGCAAGUAACUAUAUCUGACCAACCACCGUCCCCCUUGGGACAUCUGCUGCUGUUAAUGACUAUCUUCAUCUAAAGCUCCUACGCUUGCGAAUUCAAAGUUUCCAGGAAGUGUAAUGAUUGCUGUGUUCAAUGUACCACCAACCAAUAAAAUUACCAUUUUCCAAGCUUNNNNNNNNNNNNNNNNNNNNNNNNNNNNNNNNNNNNNNNNNNNNNNNNNNNNNNNNNNNNNNNNNNNNNNNNNNNNNNNNNNNNNNNNNNNNNNNNNNNNCAUUCUUAGCUAAAUAAACCUCCCAUUUUCAAAAGUAAGUAAAAAUAAGCGUGAAUAUAGACUUAGGAAAACGGCUCCUAUAGAGGACUAUAGUUACUCCGGGUGCCUAACACCUUCCCGUAGUAAAACCGACCCCCGAACUUAGAAUCUAAGGGUUUUUCUCAAUUUUUCCCUUCCCAAGAAAAAAGAGAGAUAUCAACGGUCGAAAGGUACAAGUCCAAUUAAUGGCUUGGCACCCAAAAACCAUGAUAACAGUCCUGUUCCCCAAUAAUAACAAGACACAUGUCUUUUUUAAUUAAAAAUUAAAGAAAUAGUUUAUCUUCUUCAUUGAUCUGUCUCAAUUGUUUUUACGCAGCAGAGUCAGUCUCAAUUUCUUCUUACCUCUUUCACAUGGUUCUUCUUGGAUAAAUUGGCUAUAUCCUUCUUUUCAGAAUUGUGAUCGUCCCAUGUGGCCAAAUUAAAUCCUUGAAUCCAGUAUCAAUGGCGACAACUAGCAAAGGUUGAACUUCCACCUUCAUUCCUUCCAACACGAACUACUAUUGGCAUCCUCAACUCUCUCACCAACUGCCGUUUCCAGUGAAAGAUAAUUGUCAGCCACAAGUUCCGUUAGCCGCCGUGAUGCUCAUAACCAUGCCUAGUCUUCCAGUAACAAAGUUCCCCGCAUACUUAGGUUACCAUUCUUAAUGUUAUAGGAUUCCACGUUUGUAUUAAGAGUAAGGAAAAAUCAAGCAAUGUGUUCCCUUCAUAGAGAUACAUACCAGAAUGGUUAAUUUAAAACUGCAAAUAAAGUUUUUGACGGUAACCAGAAUGAAUUGGCGAUGAAAACUACAAAUAAAAUUGAUUUUUUUGUUUGUUUGUAUAAGCCGCCACAUGUUAUUUUCUGAU